rnacentral:lncRNA from 1 species
CUCGGCCCUCCCCGCCGCCGCUCGGCCCACUCCGUCAAUCCUCGGCAGCGCACACGUCCUCCCUCGGCCCUCCCCGCCGCCGCUCGGCCCACUCCGUCAAUCCUCGGCAGCGCACACGUCCUCCCUCGGCCCUCCCCGCCGCCGCUCGGCCCACUCCGUCAAUCCUCGGCAGCGCACACGUCCUCCCUCGGCCCUCCCCGCCGCCGCUCGGCCCACUCCGUCAAUCCUCGGCAGCGCACACGUCCUCCCUCGGCCCUCCCCGCCGCCGCUCGGCCCACUCCGUCAAUCCUCGGCAGCGCACACGUCCUCCCUCGGCCCUCCCCGCCGCCGCUCGGCUUUCCCCAUCAUCACUCGGCCCGCUCCGCCAAUCUUCGGCAGCGCACACGUCCUCCCUCGGCCCUCCCCGCCGCCGCUCGGCUUUCCCCAUCAUCACUCGGCCCACUCCGUCAAUCUUCGGCAGCGCACACGUCCUCGUUCGGCUCUCUCCGCCAACUCUCGCUUCUUUCCGACUUGCUGGACUCUUGGCCUCGAUCCAGGGAUCUAUGGCCCCAUUACUUGGAGACCGCGGGAUCCGGUUGUAUAUGGCAACACGUUUACAUUCAUGAGACGAUUUCCAGUGACUGACUGGAGCCCAGAGCAGAACAGGGCUCUGGUAGCUCCACCACACCCAACAGAGCCUCAGGCUGGAGAGAUCGCCACGGUGGGAGAAGAUUCAGAGUGCUGUUCCUGCUGGCACUUCUAUGAGCCCAGGUUCUCCAGGAUGGAAAGUCCUGCAGUGAAAUGGGUGCAUUUGACACCUGUCAGUGCUGAAGGUGAAAGUCUAUUCUGAGGAGGGGACAGCAAUGACCUUCACUGCUAACUUGGAGGACAGAGUGAAGAAGAUCAGUGAACAUGUCCGGGCUAAGACCAAGAUUCCCGUGCAGGACCAGGUCCUUUUGCUGGGCUCCAAGACCCUAAAGCCCCAAAGGAAGCUGUCAUCUUACGGCAUUGACAAGCAGACAACCAUCCACCUCACUCUGAAGGUGGUGGAGCCCAGUGACGAGGAGCUGCCCUUGGUUCUGGUGGAGUUAUGCAAUGAGGGGCAGAGGCACCUCCUUCAGGUGUGAAGGUCCAGCUCAGUGGCCCAGGUGAAACAGAUGAUAGAGACCAAGACCACUAUCAUGCCUGAGAAACAGACUGUGACUUGCAAUGGCAAGAGGCUGGAAGAUGGGAAGACCAUGGCAGACUAUGGCAUCAGAGGGGGCAAUUUACUCUUCCUGACAGCCCACUGCAUUGGGGGCUGAGCCUUCCAGGGAUGGGUGAGAUCAGGAGCAAAAGUGCUUACUGUUGGCUCUUACUCCACCCACAUGCCUUGAUGAUUUCCCAAAUUAACGAGAAAGAUAAACAGAAAAGGUUAAGGGUGAAGUAGGGAGGAAGACUGCAGAAAACUUUCUAACUCCAUGAUUUUUGGGUCUAACGUAAUUGAUUAGUGGCUGGAUUGUGCAUAUUACUGAAAACAGAAAAUAACAUUUUAAGGCACAGUAGAGAUAGCCUCAAGGCCAGCUUGCAAUGAAUUCCUUUCCUGGUUCCUUCUGAUUUUUACAAAAAUUCCUAUUUCCUCUUCUGUUCAACAAGUUAGUUUUACACCGCGAUCCAUGUUCCCCUCAUUUUUGUGUUUCCACCGUUAUAUUUCAUCUGUAAUAUCACUCAAAAUGUUGAAUCAAAUGGAAUUUCUGCUUAUAGAGAACAGAGAAAUGAUUUAUAUUGAAGUGAAGUAAUUCUUCUGAUAUGAUUACAAUCUCAUUAAAGAAUUUAGAAAAUCAGUUAAAC